GGAUCAUCCUGUUAGGUUUAAAGAUGGAAAUCAGUCUAUUGAGAAUGAGAAGAGAAGAGUCCAGCAGCAGAGAGCAGACUCCCCUGGACCCAGCUGUGUCUCCAUGAAGAGCGACUGGUCUAUGGAUAAACCUCCUGAGUUUAAAGAUGGAUGUCCUUCCAGAGAGGAGAGACACCAGGAGAGGUCAAAGGUUACCAGUGCUAAGUCUCUACAGCAGCAUCAAACAGA